rnacentral:rRNA from 1 species
AGCGAACGCUGGCGGCAGGCCUAACACAUGCAAGUCGAACGAACUCUUCGGAGUUAGUGGCGGACGGGUGAGUAACACGUGGGAACGUGCCUUUUGGUUCGGAAUAACUCAGGGAAACUUGUGCUAAUACCGAAUGUGCCCUUCGGGGGAAAGAUUUAUCGCCAUUAGAGCGGCCCGCGUCUGAUUAGCUAGUUGGUGAGGUAACGGCUCACCAAGGCGACGAUCAGUAGCUGGUCUGAGAGGAAGACCAGCCACACUGGGACUGAGACACGGCCCAGACUCCUACGGGAUGCAGCAGUGGGGGAUCUUGCGCAAUGGGCGAAAGCCUGACGCAGCCAUGCCGCGUGAAUGAUGAAGGUCUUAGGAUUGUAAAAUUCUUUCACCGGGGACGAUAAUGACGGUACCCGGAGAAGAAGCCCCGGCUAACUUCGUG